GACGAACGCUGGCGGUGUGCUUAACACAUGCAAGUCGAACGGACAGGCCCUGCUUUUGUGGGGUGCUCGAGUGGCGAACGGGUGAGUAACACGUGAGUAACCUGCCCUUGACUGUGGGAUAACUUCAUGAAACUGGUGCUAAUACCGGAUAGGAGCUCCUGCUGCAUGUUGGGGGUUGGAUAGUUUCGGCGGUUGGGGAUGGACUCGCGGCUUAUCAGCUUGUUGGUGGGGUAGUGGCUUACCAAGGCUUUGACGGGUAGCCGGCCUGAGAGGGUGACCGGCCACAUUGGGACUGAGAUACGGCCCAGACUCCUACGGGAGGCAGCAGUGGGGAAUAUUGCACAAUGGGCGGAAGCCUGAUGCAGCAACGCCGCGUGCGGGAUGACGGCCUUCGGGUUGUAAACCGCUUUCGCCUGUGACGAAGCGUGAGUGACGGUAAUGGGUAAAGAAGCACCGGCUAACUACGUG
rnacentral:rRNA from 1 species